rnacentral:rRNA from 1 species
UACAGAGGGUGCGAGCGUUAAUCGGAAUUACUGGGCGUAAAGCGUGCGUAGACGGUAGCGUAAGUCAGAUGUGAAAGCCCCGGGCUCAACCUGGGAAUUGCAUUUGAGACUGCUCUGCUCGGGUGCGGAAGAGGGAAGCGGAAUUUCCGGUGUAGCGGUGAAAUGCGUAGAUAUCGGAAGGAACACCAGUGGCGAAGGCGAGUCUCUGGCAUUUCCUGGACGCUGAGGCACGGAAAGCCAGGGGCAG